UAGGGAAUCUUCGGCAAUGGGGGGAACCCUGACCGAGCAACGCCGCGUGAGUGAAGAAGGUUUUCGGAUCGUAAAGCUCUGUUGUUAAGGAAGAACGAGUGUGAGAAUGGAAAGUUCAUACUGUGACGGUACUUAACCAGAAAGGGACGGCUAACUACGUGCCAGCAGCCGCGGUAAUACGUAGGUCCCGAGCGUUGUCCGGAUUUAUUGGGCGUAAAGCGAGCGCAGGCGGUUAGAUAAGUCUGAAGUUAAAGGCAGUGGCUCAACCAUUGUAGGCUUUGUAAACUUUUUAACUUGAGUGCAGAAGGGGAGAGUGGAAUUCCAUGUGUAGCGGUGAAAUGCGUAGAUAUAUGGAGGAACACCGGUUGCGAAAGCGGCUCUCUGGUCUGUAACUGACGCUGAGGCUCGAAAGCGUGGGGAGCGAACAGG
rnacentral:rRNA from 1 species